GGUAGGUAGUUCAGUGGUAGAGUGCUUGCCUUGCAUGCAUGAGGCCCUGAGUUUGAUUCCUCAGCACCA
rnacentral:tRNA from 1 species